rnacentral:tRNA from 3 species
GGUGGCGUAGGCAAAUUGGUAAAGCCCCACGACUUUCACUCGUGUGUUUGCGGGUUCGACUCCCGUCGCCACUGCCA